rnacentral:rRNA from 1 species
UGUGAUGCCCUCAGAUGUCCCGGGCCGCACACGUGCUACAUUGAUUAGCGCAGUGCGCAUACUUUCAAUAUGAUACAUUGGAUUGGUGGUGAAUUGUUGGCCCCGUCUAAUACUGUCCUGUCUGAGAAGGCUGGGUAAUCAAUUGUAAGUGGUGGUUCCUACUCCCGUUGAGCAUUUUAAUAAUGGCCUCUCUACAUCCCUAGUAACCCUAGUGCGAUUGUAGUUGAGCCUUGCCAUUUAUGCAAGUGUCAAUUCUCAGUGGGGACAGACAUUUGAUAAUUCUUUGUCUCGUUCUUAACUAGGAAUGCCUUGUACGGGUCUUGGUUCAACAGACCACCCGGAAUACGUCCCUGCCCUUUGUACACACCGCCCGUCGCUCUUACCGAUGACUUUCCCUG